CGCGUGCCGGCCAUCCCACGGCUCCCCUACCGGAUAAGGCCAAGCCAGACCCCCCCGCAAACCCUAGCGCCUCCGCCACUCCUCCCCCUUCUCCCUCACGCGUGCGCGCCUCUCCUCUCUCUCUCUCUCUCUCUCUCUCUCCAGUACGCUCCCGUCGCCGUGCGCUGGUCAAUCCCGCGGCCACCGGGCCCCUCCGGCCUCGCCGGUCUGUCCUGGAGCUCCAGCGCCGUCGUCCUCUUCGUCUGGUUCCACUGGACCGCGCUGGGGGCCGCCGGAGCACCCGCCUCGACUCCUUCUUCCUCCUCUGCUCCGUCGUCGCCGUCGCAGGGAACCGCCGCCUCCAGGGAGCCUUCCCCGAGCACAUCUUUGCACACCUGCAGGCGCGAUGGCAGUGCUAGGAGGAUUGAUUCGAUCCAAGGAAGAUGAAGACAAUCGGUAUAUGUAUGUUGCUGUUGCGGCUGCUGUCUUGUGCAACGUGGUUCCUGCAGGUGCAGGUUAAUAAGAUUCUGACUGUGGCUGGUUUCCAUGAUCCUUAAGUCCUCUAUAUAUAUUCUGUACUAGUACCCCCUCUGUAAACUAAUAUAAGAUCAUUCAGAUAACUAGUCAUCUAAAAUUGAUGUAUGUUUGGGUUUGAGACAUUCGAGUGUUUGCUCUUGGUUUGUAAUAGUAUUAAUGCUGCUAUAUUGCUGACCGUGCGGUCGCUAGUCGGGUUGCUAUUAGCUUGUUAUAGGCUUGAAUUCCAAUGAAAAAAAAAACAUGUGCUUGUUCUAAAA